AUGAAAUGGGUGCAUGCUAUAUACACAAAAGACCGAUGCGGUGUUAGUUGUGUUUAGAGUUUUGAAAAUGUGACAACUGUUUAGACAAACGCUUGUUAGCGACUGAAAAAA